UACGGAGGGUGCGAGCGUUGUCCGGAAUCAUUGGGCGUAAAGGGCGCGUAGGUGGCCCGGUCAGUUCGUGGUGAAAGCGCGGGGCUCAACCCUGCGUCGGCCAUGAAUACUGCCGCGGCUGGAGCACUGUAGAGGCAGGCGGAAUUCCGGGUGUAGCGGUGGAAUGCGUAGAUAUCAGGAGGAACACCGGUGGUGUAACGGACUCUCUGGACCGUAACUGACGCUGAGACACGAAAGCGUGGGUAGCAAACAGG
rnacentral:rRNA from 1 species